AUCUCUCCUAGUGGGUAUCUUCCUAAUGAAGGACACAGCACAGGCCACUCUCCUCCAGACCAGCUGGCACUUCUGCUGCUUAGAGUUCACCAACAACAGGCUCCUCUCUGCAGAGAAGCACGUGGACUCGUGUGUGCCUGCCUAGGGAGGGUCCAAAUCUGACCUGACCUAGGCAUGAGCCAGAGAUGGCAGAGGCUAUCCGACAGCAUCCAGAAGAGUCAACAAACCUAGGUAAAGGAUGAGAUGAUACAUUUCCAGCUUCAUGGGCCACAGACUCUUGCAACUACUCAAUUCUGCCUUUGUAAAACAGAAACAGCCAGAGACAAUGAGUAUAAAUGCACAAGCAUGACCGUCACCAAAACGCCACCUAUGAAAGCCGAAGUCCAAAUGUCAUAUUAAUUUUCACGUGUCACGAAACCA